rnacentral:rRNA from 1 species
CAGCCGCCGCGGUAAUACGUAGGUGGCGAGCGUUGUCCGGAUUUAUUGGGCGUAAAGGGAGUGUAGGCGGUCUUUUAAGUCUGAUGUGAAAGCCCACGGCUCAACCGUGGAGGGUCAUUGGAAACUGGGAGACUUGAGUGCAGAAGAGGAGAGCGGAAUUCCAUGUGUAGCGGUGAAAUGCGUAGAUAUAUGGAGGAACACCAGUGGCGAAGGCGGCUCUCUGGUCUGUAACUGACGCUGAGGCUCGAAAGCGUGGGGAGCAAACAGGAUUAGAUACCCCUGUAGUCCCUGUCUCUUAUAC